UCAGAAAUAGCCUACGGAGAGCGACCGAAAUAGCCUGCAAUCUUCUACGCAGUGAAGCUUUUCGUCUAAUUUGAAUAAUUAAUUCAAAUUAGACAACCCUUUAACGCUCCGUCAGUGCUGUACCGCCUGUAACUACAAAUAGACGACAAACACAGAAAACUGGCGAUAGUCAACUCUUUGGUACCCGCACGAAAAGUUGGUCUGAUUGAACGGUAGAACUAUAGAACCUUAGGCAUAAUGGAUAUUACGUACGAUCCCAGAAUUUUAAUUUGUAUUCUCUUGCUGUUUCCAUUGACCUUUAUUACCAAAAUCACUAGUGAUCCCAUUCGAAUCCAUCACCGUCCAUCCGAAGGAUCAUUAACAUUAUCUACCAAAGUUAUCGACAAUCCUUGGAAAAAGCAACUGGGAAAGAUAUCAACACCUCAUCAAUUAAAAGUGCGGAAAUCAAGUGUAGACAAAAUCUUACCUCCGUUGGAAAGUUCGAUCGUUAUUCCAUCAUCCGAAAGCAAAUUCAAAACUCUACCACAGAAACUGUGGCAGAGUUUAUUUAAGAAUUUACAAGUAGCGACAACUAACACGGAAUGCACCUGCACUGAUCCCAACCCGCAAAAAGAAAUAUUUGGACGCGUUUGCUCUACGACUUGCUUGACAUCGGAGACAUUGUGUUAUGGCCAGACUUGUACCCGAACAACGACAUUUUCGGCUCUUUAUUCUCUCUUUACUGGAUCACAAAUUGUAGAACAAACGACAACAGAUGUUUCAUUUGUAAGUACCAUCCAGAGGGUACAAAUUGAUGAAUUGGAUUGUGAAUUGCUCGAAAGCAAAUGCAUCCUUUCAACCGCAUUAACGCAGGCCAAAGUAACGGGCGCAAUAGGUGCAGGGGCUGCCAUCGCUUUGUCGGUUGGUAUUGCAGUGGACAAGAAAACGAAACCAAAUGAAGAGGAAGAAGAAGAAGAGGAAUAUGAUUAUCCGGAAAUAGAAUAUUCGCAGAAGAUUGGUCGAAAAUCCAGAAAUUAUUUCGAAAAUUUGAAAAGUUCGAUGGUUCCAAUCGACGAGCAAUUCGAUGCGAUGCCACGUGGUUUGUUGGGUCUUGCACUGAGAAGAGUAGCACAACCAGCAGAAGGAACAUGUAGCUGUAGCGUCAGCAUUCCGUUAUUCUUCAUUCAAGAAUGUUCAACGACUUGCCUAUCAUCCAAACGACUUUGCGGCAAUCAUUUUUGCACCCAGACAUCCGUUUUCAAUGCCUUUUUGUAUCCAACCGGAAGCAAUAGCGAACUAACAACACAAACAUUUCUGUCCGUCAAUAACAAAGAUUGUGAGAAGCUGAGAGCCGAUUGCAUCGCAUCGUCUGCCAUCGGCGCAGUGGCCAAGAUUGGCGCUGCAACUGGACUGGCCGCUGCGGCUUUAUCGUCUGGAAUGGGAGCAGCCGCUAAACUUUUCAUAACCGCAAGUAAUAAAAGUAACGGAACAGCGAAGGAAAAUGAACGUUUGCAUUUUAAUUAUACCAGACGCACAGUAAAGAAAUUAAAGUAUUUUGAUUCUCUGCUGAAUUCAAAUUCUUUGUUUGAUGAAAUUGGACCAUUUUUAGAAAGUUCAAUCGUCGAAGAAAAGAAUUUGAAAAAGUUCUCCAUAAUUGAUCUGUUUGGUCUAUUCGGUGGUCAACAAGGGGUUACAAGUGUGACAACUAAAUGUACUUGCGAUGAUCCAAGUCCAUCAGCGGGGACGAUAGGACGAGCUUGUAGCACAACUUGCAGAAACAUCGAGACGUUGUGUUCCGGCUCUCGAUCCUGUUACCGGACCACCACUUUCAUGGCUGUUUAUUCGCUUUUUACUGGUUCAAAGUUCGAUUUUCUACUUGGUUCAUCAUAUUCUAUAAUCGAUUCAACCAACAAAAAGUAUUCUACCAUUUUAAAAAGGACAUACUCACAAAUUGACGAAGAAAGAUGUGAAAUACUCGAAAGCCAAUGCAAUGCAGUUGAUACUUUGGCCAAGGCAAGACAACCGGCGGCAGAUGUGGCUGCCUUGUCGGUCGGAUUGGCCGCUGGAGCUGUUGGAAUUGCCAUAAUUAAGGCUAAACAUAGCCAAACUGUGGACAAUGCAACAUACGAAGAAUAUGGCGAUUACCCCUACGUACGAAGUCUUUAUGCCAGACGAAAACGAAGCAAGAGAAUGUCAUUUACUCAAGAAAGAAAUCAGAGUGAAAUUGAAACAAAAUUGAGCGACGUUCCGACAAUUGAAUUCGACCAACACCCUUCGAAUGGCCCACCUAGCAUUGAAAGUUCGAUGGAAGAAAUAUUCAAUGUCCCGACAUUUUUAAAAUUAUCCGGGAGACAAGCGGCUGUAUGCGCGUGUAAUAUUUUAGGGGUUUUUUCCGACUCUUGUUUAACAACCUGCUUGGCAUCUGAGCAAUCGUGUGCUCUUGGUGGUUGCAGUUGUACUCGAACUUCCGUUUACGAGGCUAGCAAAUAUUUAACAGGUUCAACAACAUCCUAUGAUUUUUUUGCAAAUGCAUAUAUAACUAUAGGGGUUUAUGGCACUUAUUCAUUUCUGUCUGUCGAUAACAAAGAUUGCGAAAAGUUACUAGUCGAUUGCAGCAUCGCCUCGUCGACUAUUUUGGCGGCGGGAAGAGUUGCCGCAAUCGCCGUUGGAGUUGGCGGAGGUUUAGCGGCCGGAAUUGCAGUCGCAGCUGUGGUCGUUGCCAGCAACAACCAGACAAAUAACAUCAACAACAAUACUGAAAAACAACAAUCGGCCCAAAACUCUAAUCAGACCCCCGCAAAUAAUUUACCGAUUCCAGUUGUCGGAUUAAGUUUUCCGGAUGACGGAAGUGGUGACAGUUCCAUUCGAUUUCCUGACGGAAGUAGUCAUCCUAUUUUCAGCAGAGGACCUUGUAAUCAAACUCAUUGGGUUACAGUCAACCCCAUUUCAUUACAGGGUGGAUGCACUUUGCGUCUCUGUGAGGAGGAACGAGUUUUCGUUGGCCGGACUGGCCUCUGCCAUGACGUCAACGAUCCACUUGAAUGUCAAGGAGGCCGACGUCUUUAUUACACGGCCUAUGGAGAUCCAAUAUGCGAUUGUCCCAUCGGACAAUAUCCGUUUCCAGACAGCACCAAAGACGAUUGCGUUUCAUUAUUCUCUCGAGGUUCCUGCCCAAAUCGCCAAGUGUUGGUUAUAACUGAGGACGGUCGACUGAAUUGCGAACCCCUCGAAUGUCAGUUGAUUAAUGGAGGAGAUGACGGACGAUUCCAGCAAUUAGUUCCGGAUGAGAAAGGAACUUGUUUCGCUCUGGGUUCACGCGGACCUUGUUCAUCCACUCAAUUGUUGGGUUACGACAUAUUCAAACGGCGAUUGCAGUGUGUUGUCGAUCCCUUCUCUCCCGAAUCUUCUCCAUCUCAACAAAACGAACUGGUCGAUGUUGCAGAAAACAAGGAAUUGUUUUCACAGGAUUACAUCAGUGAGCGGAUUAAUUGGAUCGAGUAUUUAAUCACCCUCAGUUUAAUGCAAAGAAGCAAAUUAAUGGAGCCAAUUGAGAGACAAGACACUGCAGGAAUUCUUCAAUUACCCAGUUCAUCACCCGAUUCUCUUCUUCAACCGUGUCGAUCUGGAGCUCGGAGUGACAAUAAUUUCAAAUGCGCCAAUCCUUUAGUGUCUGAUUCCGGUUCUGGAGGGUCUCUUCCUCCGUUGCCUCCAUUAGUCACUUGUCCGGCUGACAGUUUCUUGACAGCAUCGGGUUCGUGCGUUGAUGACAGACGAGCGGCGAAAUGCGGACCUUCGACUCGUUUUAACGAAGCAACUGGGCAAUGUCGAUCUUUAUUUUAGUCGGUUUUAUUAUUUAUUCUGAUUCGUACUCACGGAGGUGGUGGGAGUUAAUUUAUUUUUAUAUUCUCUGAUGAGGAUUGUUUAAUUGGAUGAACGGAAUGUGUUGAUUACUCGGUUGUGGUGUCCCUGGAUCCUUUUUCACACAAUCAACAAAUCAUGGAAAUAAAAGGAUGAGAAAUCAAACUUUCAUUUCCAUUCUUCAUUUUUAUUUAUCAAGAAAUUUAAACUAAUUUAAUUUGUUUAAAGUUUCCUCUGGCACAACGUAAAUCGCCAACUGGUAGCCCACAUUUGUAAAAGAUGUCGUGACGUAAUACUGGCGAAUGAAGGGUAUCCUAAAAUUGGGGGUAGGGGGGAGGAAAUAAUCCAAAAUGGCUGCCGUUUCUUUUCCUUUCGUCUUUGUCAGUAGUCGUCUGUCGUGUGGACUCCGAGCAAAAUUCGGAAAAUUCAAGUGGUUUUCGAUACAAAGCUUCAAAUACUUUUCGAUCUGUUGAAGGUCAAAUCGUGGAAAUCCAUUCUAUUCUACAAUUUUUUCUGAUAAAAUUUGAUGUACAUCCGAUACAGAUUCAACACGUGUGUUGAAUCUUGAAAGAUCCAAAGAUAGUACUUGUUUCCAGUGAAGAAGAGAAGCCGACCCAAAACUUACUAGUACUACAACCUAUGUCCAACUCUGAUCCCAAACUAUUUCUGUCGACUCAAACAGCUGGUAGCUGCCAUCAUGUAGUGUUGUUUCUAUCUGAUUCAAGUAUUGUUAUUAUACACUUCAAAUCUGGACUUUGGAAGACGCUUGGCAUGGUCCUAAAUUUUUCACUGGAUCAAAAUUGGAUAAGGAAAGUUUUCGACAUGUGAACAUCACUUCCCUCAGACACGAUUUUCUAACGGAAACAUUUCGUUUCUAGAGUCGCCUGCUAAUGCAAAAUGCGGAACUAUUGUACGAGAAGGAACUAAACGACUCCACAACGAACGAGUUGAACAAACUUACGUGCACAGCAACUGAAUGGACCUAGUUCGUUUUCAUUAGAUCAGCGUAUAGCAGUGGGCAAAAGUAAAGUAAGUGGUCUUAUUCAUUUCUCGUAAAUGACGGCGGAUGCCUAAGAAAGCGGCCGACCCUGGCGGUGCAGUUGCAAGGAAUUUAAUUUUCUCGUUUUAAUUGGGGCAGCUAUAAAUUUACGAUGCCACAUUUUUUCCAACUCCCUAUUCCUUUGAAACUCUAUUCGAGAUUUAUGGGCCGUCUUCUUCCGGUUUUACUCGUAACUUCUCAACGUAAAAAUGGUCUAGGUCUAUUUUUAGCCAACGUGAUAUUUUGAUAUUCUUUCAAAGAAAAUAGGACAU
rnacentral:misc_RNA from 1 species